AGCAGCUGUGGGUGUGGCGUUUACUUAGCUCCUGGAUGUUGGGUCUGUCCUGUGGUCUGCCUUUAGUGGCCUCCUGGAUACCAGGCUUGCCCUAGUAGCAGUGUUCAGGAGGUCUCCUCAGGAGUGUGACUGCCCUGAGGCCUGCAUGUUGUUGUGGCUCUCAGAUCUGGGCCUUGUCAAAAGUCAGCAUGCAAUCAGCCCCUGGUCCCUGGGCUUGCCCUUGGCCCUGUGUGCUGGAGACGUGACAUGGAGAUAUGUCAACCCAAUGGGACCCUGGAGUUCUGACUUUACACAAACCCAAUGAGCAGCCUCUAGUGGCACCUGAGAGAAAAUGGCCUGUACUUUGGUAAGCAUAUCUGCUUCCUGAUUUUCAGCAGUUCUGAUUCCUCUUGAACUCAAUUCUAUCUUUCCUGUCAUCUCUUUGUGGCUGAACCAGUACUUGCUAGUUUUCAUUUCCCUGUUGGGCCAUCCAUAAAGUGAGGCCUCUAAAUACAGCUCAACUGUCAGAACAGAUUGACACAGGC
rnacentral:lncRNA from 1 species